GGCGCGGGCGUCUAUGGCUACGUUGACGGCACCACGCCGGAACCAGCCAAGACCGUCGUCACCAAGGACAAGGACGUGAAGGAGAUGGCUACACCAAACCCCCUUCAUUCGAUCUGGUUCCGAGAAGAUCAGCAGGUACUUGGUUAUCUUCUGAACAUUCUUUCCAAGGAGGUGCUCGUGUAGGUGACUUUGAUCUGCCAUGCACACGAGCUCUGGACAGUGCUGGCGAACAUGUUUUCGUCCCAGUCGCUGUCUCACAUCAACAACAUCCGCGUCUCCCUUGCGAACGCACAGAAAGGCAACCAGUCCGUCGCGGCCUUCUUCGCGCACAUGCGCUCCCUCGCCGACGAGCUUGCUGCUGCUGGCAAGCCACUCGACGACGACGAGCUCAUCUCCUACAUCACGGCCGGCCUCGACAUGGAGUAUCAACCCCUCGUCUCUGCCCUUGAUGCCCGCACUUAG
rnacentral:rRNA from 1 species